CUACGGGUUGCAGCAGUCAAGAAUCUUCCACAAUGACCGAAAGGUUGAUGGAGCGACGCCGCGUGUAUGAUGAAGCCCCUCGGGGUGUAAAGUACUUUUAUGUGGGACGAAACAAUGACGGUACCACAAGAAUAAGGGGCUGCUAACUUCGUGCCAGCAGCAGCGGUAAUACGAAGGCCCCUAGCGUUAUCCGGAUUUAUUGGGCGUAAAGGGUCCGUAGGCGGUUUAUUACAUCUCCUGUUAAAUCCCAAGGCUUAACCUUGGAACCGCGGGGGAGAUGGAUAGACUAGAGGCCGGUAGAGGCAAGCGGAAUUGUUGGUGUAGGGGUUAAAUCCGUUAAUAUCAACAGGAACACCAAAUGCGAAGGCAGCUUGCUAGAACGAGCCUGACGCUCAGGGACGAAAGCGUGGGGAGCGAAUGGGAUUAGAUACCCCCGUAGUC
rnacentral:rRNA from 1 species